AUGGAAUACGAAUUGUGUCCUUCACAGUCACACUAUACCA
rnacentral:sRNA from 1 species